rnacentral:misc_RNA from 1 species
CUAGCAUUGAAUUUGCAAACAUAAAGCUGCAGAACAAAAAAAAACGAUGAUUGGACUUCUAAACUAAGAUGGCCUGAUAAAGCACUCAUCUUUUUACACACGUAUAGGCUUUUCAACUCAAAUGACAAUUUACUCCAAGUAAAAUACAGAGACCCAUAAUGUGGGGGAAAAAAUGAAUGAAUUGGAAUAUAUAUUUCAGUCCUUUUAAAAUUGAAAUCAUACAUAUGCAUGAUGGAAGAACCAUCUCUCCGAACGUAGAUGAAUGAGUGUAUGUGGUGCUCAAGGGUCGUAUGCAGGUUCAAUGUAAACUCAAUUGAAGUGUUUCAGUCGUUAGCCAAAAUGAAAACCAGACGACUUG